rnacentral:rRNA from 1 species
AUUGAACGCUGGCGGCAUGCCUUACACAUGCAAGUCGAACGGCAGCGCGGACUUCGGUCUGGCGGCGAGUGGCGAACGGGUGAGUAAUACAUCGGAACGUACCCUGUUGUGGGGGAUAACUAGGCGAAAGAUUAGCUAAUACCGCAUACGACCUGAGGGUGAAAGUGGGGGACCGGAAACGGCCUCAUGCAGCAGGAGCGGCCGAUGUCUGAUUAGCUAGUUGGUGGGGUAAAGGCCCACCAAGGCGACGAUCAGUAGCUGGUCUGAGAGGACGAUCAGCCACACUGGGACUGAGACACGGCCCAGACUCCUACGGGAGGCAGCAGUGGGGAAUUUUGGACAAUGGGGGCAACCCUGAUCCAGCAAUGCCGCGUGGGUGAAGAAGGCCUUCGGGUUGUAAAGCACUUUUGUCCGGAAAGAAAUCGCGCUGGUUAAUACCUGGCGUGGAUGACGGUACCGGAAGAAUAAGCACCGGCUAACUACGU